rnacentral:rRNA from 1 species
AUACAGAGGGUGCAAGCGUUGUCCGGAAUGAUUGGGCGUAAAGGGCGCGUAGGCGGCGCGGUAAGUCUGGAGUGAAAGUCCUGCUUUCAAGGUGGGAAUUGCUUUGGAUACUGCCGCGCUUGAGUGCAGGAGAGGUUAUCGGAAUUCCAGGUGUAGCGGUGAAAUGCGUAGAGAUCGGGAGGAACACCAGUGGCGAAGGCGGGUAACUGGACUGCAACUGACGCUGAGGCGCGAAAGUGUGGGGAGCAAACAGGAUUAGAUACCCUGGUAGUCCACACUGUAAACGAUGAAUGCUAGGUGUAAGAGGUAUCGACCCCUUUUGUGCCGGAGUCAACACAAUAAGCAUUCCGCCUGGGGAGUACGGCCGCAAGGUUGAAACUCAAAUGAAUUGGCGGGG